rnacentral:rRNA from 1 species
GAUGAACGCUAGCGGCAGGCCUAACACAUGCAAGUCGAGGGGCAGCAUAAAAUUAGCUUGCUAAUUUGGUGGCGACCGGCGCACGGGUGAGUAACGCGUAUGCAACCUACCCUAUUCUGGGGGAUAGCCCGAAGAAAUUCGGAUUAAUACCCCAUGGUACUGAGAAAUGGCAUCAUUUUUUAGUUAAAGGUUACGGAAUAGGAUGGGCAUGCGUCCCAUUAGCUAGAUGGUAAGGUAACGGCUUACCAUGGCGACGAUGGGUAGGGGGUCUGAGAGGAUGGUCCCCCACACUGGUACUGAGACACGGACCAGACUCCUACGGGAGGCAGCAGUGAGGAAUAUUGGUCAAUGGGCGAGAGCCUGAACCAGCCAUGCCGCGUGCAGGAAGAAUGCCCUAUGGGUUGUAAACUGCUUUUAUUUGGGAAUAAACCUCUUUACGCGUAAGGAGCUGAAGGUACCAAAUGAAUAAGCACCGGCUAACUCCGUGCCAGCAGCCGCGGUAAUACGGAGGGUGCAAGCGUUAUCCGGAAUCAUUGGGUUUAAAGGGUCCGCAGGCGGAUUUAUAAGUCAGUGGUGAAAGCCUAUUGCUCAACAAUAGAACUGCCAUUGAUACUGUAGGUCUUGAAUUCGGUCGAAGUGGGCGGAAUAUGACAUGUAGCGGUGAAAUGCUUAGAUAUGUCAUAGAACACCGAUAGCGAAGGCAGCUCACUAGGCCUGGAUUGACGCUCAGGGACGAAAGCGUGGGGAGCAAACAGAAUUAGAUACCCUGGUAGUCCACGCCGUAAACUAUGAUUACUCGUUCUCGGCGAUAUACAGUCGGGGACUAAGCGAAAGUGAUAAGUAAUCCACCUGGGGAGUACGAUCGCAAGGUUGAAACACAAAUGAAUUG